CGGACCCUACGGGAGGCAGCAGUGAGGAAUAUUGGUCAAUGGCCGAGAGGCUGAACCAGCCAAGCCGCAUGAGGGAAGACGGUCCUAUGGAUUGUAAACCUCUUUAGGCGGGGAGCAAUGCCGGGCACGCGUGCCCGGAGGGAGAGUACCCGCAGAAUAAGCAUCGGCUAACUCCGUGCCAGCAGCCGCGGUAAUACGGAGGAUGCGAGCGUUAUCCGGAUUUAUUGGGUUUAAAGGGUGCGUAGGCGGAUUUUUAAGUCAGCGGAAAAAUGUCCGGGCUCAACCCGGGCCGGCCGUUGAAACUG
rnacentral:rRNA from 1 species